GUAAAGAUGCCAGAAGUUUAAUGGAAUUGAUUUAGGAUUAAUUUAUGUGGGUUUCCCGCUCUUUAUG
rnacentral:tRNA from 1 species